AGUGAACGCUGGCGGUAGGCCUAACACAUGCAAGUCGAACGGCAGCACAGUAAGAGCUUGCUCUUACGGGUGGCGAGUGGCGGACGGGUGAGGAAUACAUCGGAAUCUACUUUUUCGUGGGGGAUAACGUAGGGAAACUUACGCUAAUACCGCAUACGACCUACGGGUGAAAGCAGGGGAUCUUCGGACCUUGCGCGAUUGAAUGAGCCGAUGUCGGAUUAGCUAGUUGGCGGGGUAAAGGCCCACCAAGGCGACGAUCCGUAGCUGGUCUGAGAGGAUGAUCAGCCACACUGGAACUGAGACACGGUCCAGACUCCUACGGGAGGCAGCAGUGGGGAAUAUUGGACAAUGGGCGCAAGCCUGAUCCAGCCAUGCCGCGUGGGUGAAGAAGGCCUUCGGGUUGUAAAGCCCUUUUGUUGGGAAAGAAAAGCAGCAGGUUAAUACCCCGCUGUUCUGACGGUACCAAAAGAAUAAGCACCGGCUAACUUCGUG
rnacentral:rRNA from 1 species